UCUCCAAACGACAGCCCAUGUGCACAUAGCUGUACCUGCAGUGUGGAAGGACAGUCAGAGACUGGGACCUGGGAGCAAGACAGGAAGCAAAGCCAUUGGGCAGUCCUGUCCAUCCCAGCUAUUCCUCUUGCCUCUGUGAUAAGCAUUGCCCUGGACUGCUUGGACAAGUAGGAGACCUCAGUUUCCAUAGAGGGGCCUAGUUCAAGACCCAAAACUUACUUCGAUGUAGGGUCUAGGAUCUAGAGCCACUGUCUUACUCCUCCUCUCGAAUCAUUCUGGGGUUAUCUGUUUCAUUCCUCAAGACAGUUAAAGCCUCUCUAGAGCCAGAUGGCAGCUGUUAAUACCUUUCUUGGGAUUUAGAUGAUGACGUGUCAUGCUGAGGGACCCUUUCCUAUGCAGAUACCAGCUGUCACAUUAGGGCAUGGGUGGGGCCAGCCCUCUGGGGUGUUUUGCUGAAGGAAGCAGGGCUUGCCCGAGUGUGCAGCACUGAAGGCCAGCUGGUCUACCUGGCCUGGAGGUAGUGUAAAGCCACUCUAGACUCACGUUGUAUUUCUCAUCUGUCUGCCUUGGGGACAGGCAAUGCCCCAGUAGGGGCUUGAUUGCUGUGAUCAUUUGGACUGUUCAGAAUCUGAUGUGUCUGACUGUCCUCUGGUUCUUCUAGGAUCUGAUAGUCCCACUCCCAAACACACCUUUCUCCAAUCUUCUCCCCUCUCUUAGUAACAGUGUUAGCCCUGCUGUGUUCAUGUCUUUCCCAGUCUCCUCCUUCCUUCCCCACAACAUACUGACCAUCUUCACCUGUGCUGAGUCCAGUUCACCACCUGCCCAAAUCUCUCUGCAGCUCAUCACCACCAGUGUGUCCUGAGAGGCUGGCAAAAUUUGCAAAAUGAAAAUGUCUUCUACCACAUUUUUCAGUUUUGCCACCAAAAUUUGACAGAGCCUGGAGCUGCUUCUGCUGCCCUGCGUGUGCUCAGUGACCUGGAGAGGAUCUAGCCAAGUCUCUCCUUAGCAGUUCCCAAGCUAUUCUUUCUCUCAUGUAAGUUCUCUUAUAAUAAUGAUCUGGUCCUAAGCAGCAGGAGAAGUUCAGCUUUGAGACUGAUAUUUGCCCCCAUCUCUUUCCUUUCUUUCAGACCGUGCUGCUCUGGGAGGAGAGGGCAGCUCUUGGAGGAUGCUAGUCGUGAGGAAGCCUAUUGGACCACCACAACUCACUUGAAUACUUUGAUCCCAAAUUCUGCUGUUAUUAAAAUAGGCAGUAGGCUGGCAGCUGGGACGUGUGAGAGCAGACGAGGGAUUCUUUUCAGGCGGAGAACGAAUAAGGAAGACUGAGGAUGCAGAUUGGAAUGGAAGAAAAUGCCAAGUGAUUAAAUGGCUCUAGAUGAGUGGAGAUACGGCUUAAGAGAUUGAUG
rnacentral:lncRNA from 1 species